ensembl:lncRNA MAGI2-AS3 MAGI2 antisense RNA 3
GGGAGCCGGGAAGGAGGGGAGCCUAGGCCCGGCGUGGGGAGGCCGGCAGGAAGGGCCUCGAGCCCAGUGCGGACCUUUCUUCAGCCUCUGUGCGACCGAGCCGCGCGCCAGGCUCCUGUGCGAGGAGGACGCGCUGACUCCCUCCGACCUGGGCUCCGAUGGAGCAGAAAUAGCGGGACCUGGACUUGUGGCGCGCCUGGUGCCACAUCUCGGGCUCUGCGAGCGUCCUGGCGCGGGAUCCUGCCGUUUGCAUCCAAGAGAGGGGAGGACAGGGGCAAAAGGAUGCAGGGAGGCUGCUGAUUUCCACUGAAGAGCUAAUUUCCUGUGAGACAUUAACAGUGAUUUAAGAAAAAGAUUCCUGUAACUGGUAAAUGAAUUUCAUUUGCUUAACUUUUAGAUGAUAUGUUUCAGGCAAAAAAAAAGUUGUGCACCCACUUAUCUCUUUAAAGCGGAGGAUGAAAAGCAUUGAAUAGGUAGGAUUCUUAAUGUCUGAGAUGAAGGCGAUGUAGGAGGCAAACAAUACGGUUAAAAAUGUUGAGUCGACCCAAACAGAAAGACCAGGUUUCAAUCCAGACUCUGCGGCUUACUGAGAAUAUGAUCUUGAGUAAACUGCUUGACCUUCCUGAGCCUCAGCUUUCUUAGUUGUUAAAUGGACUUUAACAAUACUAAUCUGUUAGGACUGUGGUGAGGAUGAAAUCAGGGAAAUCAGUCACAGCAGUGCUCUCCUGGCACAGGUGAGUAGGAGUUCGAAAUGAUAAUUCCCUCCUCUUUCCCUCUUAGGUAUAACUUACUACUUGGGGAUGAGGGGGAUCAAAUGUAGUCAGAACUGGAAGAGAUCUUAAAAAAAGAUGAUUUGUUUAACCUUGUGUCUUUUUUUCACUUGAGAAAACAGAUCCUCCGUAAGUUGGCUGCACUAGUUGAAGCUUAUUCAGUGAGCCAGGGGCAGUGCCAGGAUCUGAAGCCAGAGCUGCAGGCAAUGCCCAGGAGUAGGCAAGACUUGAUAGCAAAGCCUAAUCUCACCCAGAGAAGUUGAGUGUUAGCAUUAUGAGGCAUAGUUCUAAAUGGAAACUCAUCAUGAGAACCGAAUAUAUACAUAUUGUAAAACCAAAUGACAAGCUACCAUUCAUGGAAUAUACUAAUAUUUAUUAGGUUCUAACUACAUGCAAGAUGUUGUUUUAUAGGCUUUACACAUAAUACUUAAUUUCUCCUGACAUUUUGAUAAAAUAGGUACUGUUAUCUCCUUUUACAGGUAAGGAAACUGAGGUAUACAAGGAUGAACUUUUGCAAGGCUACAAAUCUUGUUAAUAGUGAAGCUAACGUUCAGACCCAAGUGGUUCGGCUCUAGACUUUGUCUCAGUUACUGAAUUGAACUCUCUGUGCACUUACGAUGUGUCAUACCAGUUCUCACUACAUAGUGUCCCAAAAGAUUGGGCCUGCUCUUUCUUUCAGAGACAAUUAGGAAAAAAGUAAACAAACGGAGCAGGAUUUGGGCAUAACAGCAUGCUCCUCCCAUCCCCCAAAUCCCAGGAGUGUCACUGAGGUCAGUGCCAGUUAACUUAGUGCUCUUCAACUUCACAGCUACCCUUCUUUGCCCUAAAUUGUGACAUUAGAGCUGAAAUCUGUAAACGUCUUUAUGGUCAGUUGGCACAGUGUUUAGCUUUGUCAAUAGAAGGUGCUAGGGGAACACUGCAGAAAGAAAGGGGCUCCUUUUCUUGGUUCCAGUGCUUUCCUGCUUGCUCCUACGGUGUGGUGGCCAGUGAGUGACUUUCUGACCAGUGGUGUGCAAGAAGGCCAUGUUACAUAAUCUUCAGUAAAUUUGGCCAGUUCCCUAGUAUGUGUCUUUCUAUGGAGUACCACUGGCAUGUCAGUGGAAUGGCUUCCUAGCAAGUUUUACUGAAAACACAGCUGAUGGUUUCCUCAGCAGCCCAGUGUGUGACACCUUAAAUUUCUGGAUCAUUAAGUGGACCACAGCCAUAUUAUUUCCAAUGAGCGCCUACUUUCAGGCUUAGUAGGGUGGAGGGUGGGUAGGGGGAAGUUCUACUCAGUUAUUCCCUCCUUGGGUACUCUCCUAGAGCCUGAGAGAUAGUGGCUGUUCCCAAUAACCACUAUUACUGUAUUCUUUAGUGGGAUUUUUUCCUGUCCUAAUAGUCAAUACCCUUUGACUGGAUCUUAACUGAUAAAAGUGGAACCCUGAGGAAAGCACUAUCCUUGGAGUCAGAAAUUGGGAUCAGAUUUUUUUUCUUUCUCUUAUGGUAUUCCUCAUAUUCGCUUAAUUUCUCCACUGCCUUUACCCUUUUUGGAUUUGAUGCUAUGUCAAGAAAAAAUUAUUUCAUCACUGAGCACUCUGAGUGUAGAGCAGAGUGCUAAAUAUUGCAUGCUAUUCCAGAAGAAAAAUAGUUUAGGAAUCCUAAAAGCCAAAGAAAGAAAGAUAUGAAUGCAUUCAGUUCUUAGAAGAGUUCUAUGAGAUAGAUGCUUGUGGCAGACAUAGUCUCCACCCAGAUCUCCUAGGAUCCCUUUGGUUGAAUCUGAGUAUCCUUCCUCUAGCUUCUGUGUUCUUUUACUUCUCACAGCCUGCCCCGAGAAUCUCUUUGGAGGAAGGCCCAAACACUACUAGACUCACUUUGUGUACUGGCAUAGAGAGCCAGACAGAACCACCUGCAAGUUUACUUCUUUCCCAGGAUACCCUUUGCCAAGGACUUUCCUAUAGAGUAUAAAAGACCAGCCGUCUUGCCUCUAGUAGCAAGAAAACCUGAGGUGUAAUUUACACCCUGAGGCUCCCCUAUAGAAUUAUAUUGAUGUUAAUAUUUUGCCUGAAACCACCUUCUUCCCUAUCUUGCUUACUGUGGUACCUGAUGAGUUUUUCUUGGUAGCAUUUCUAUAAUAAAUCACUUGCAGACAAUCUUCAUCUCAGGGUUUGAUCCUGGGGAUCCUGACUUAAGACAUUGCUAUUCUUUUUUUUUUUUCUUUUACAGAUGAGGAAACUGAGGAUCAGGGCUUUUAAAUUGCCCCAAAUCACACUACUAAUAAGAGAUAGAGUUGUGGUACCUUUUUUAGAGGGACCAUUAUUCUGCUGACUGCAGUACUGUAGAGCAUAAAGUUUCUUAUCCACACUGUUUCUUAGUUCAGUCUGUCAAUAUCACUACUCCACGAUUAUUGUUGUUUGUUUUUCUUUCUCCCUGUCUUUUACCUCAAAAAUCUCUAUUGUGAUGCCAGAGAGACCUUUCUGAAACCUCUCCUUUUUUCUGUGUUUAAAACCCCCCAGUGCCGCCCAUGAAAUACACAGCAAAGUCCAAACUCCUUAUCUUGCUUGGAUCCUCCUUUCCACCCUUUUUAACUGUUCAGCCAUAUUUCUCCAUGUACUUCUGAGAUUGGAACCCAGGGCAACAAAGCUAAUGUGGGUUCUCCAAGAUUAACACAACUGAAAGGAGGCCCCUUUAUGCCAUCUAUUCUAGGUCCCUUGGAAUAUAAUUAAAAACAGGAAUUUCAACAUUGAAAUGUAAUGAUGUUCAGGUAAGGGCAGUAAGGUACAUUGACUUGAGUCAAUCUCCCACCAUGUCUGGGGACUGGGACAGCUGAGCCAGGGGUCCUACCUAAGGGUCAGGCCUGUGUCUUCACUUCUCCUUUCAACCCUUUACUUCUUCCAGAGUUGAACGGCUUACUUUCCUUCUCUCACUAGGCCAUUUCAUGGCUUGUGUUUGCCUGAAAUACAACUCUUUCCCUCCCUGGUCUACACCUGCUCACCCUGAAAGAAAUACCUCUGAGCCCACUUUCUUUCUUGGAAGCAUUUUAUGACUCUUAUUUCUGUUAUCAACACAGCUUUUAUUUAUGUCUCCAUGUAUCCUUUGAAGAAACACAACUUUUCAGGUUCUAUGUUUUAUUUGCAUUCUUAGUGUCUGGCACAUUGUCUGACACAGUGUAAAAGCUGAGUAGAAUUUUGCCUGAUAGCAGAUGUGCCUGAAGUGAGGGUGUCCAAAAUUUCAUUAAAUGACGACUGCUUUAAUAUGAAUUCUUGGCUAAGGCAGGAGAAUCGCUUGAACCCAGGAGGCAGAGGUUGCAGUGAGCCGAGAUCACACCACUGCACUCCAGCCUGUAAUGUCUUACAAUAACAGAAUGCAGGAGAGCACAUAUCAAUGAAGAAAAGACAAAAUGUACUUAUCCAUGAAGCUGAGGUUAAGAAACCAGUGUCUUCAAGAGCCAGGGACAGCACUGGGUCUGUGCAGAGUUGAGAGAUGGUGAUGACAUGUGGUUUCCAGCAUUCCUCACCCAGUCCAGGGACACUGUGGGUGUGCCCAGCUUAAGUCCAGUAACUGGAAAUACAAGCCCAAGUUCUGGAGAGUUUGAGCUGCAGAGAUAUAUAUGGGAACACUUUGAAUCUUGACUCAUUGGCCAUAACCAGCAGAGUGGAAAAUACAAGAAGAGAAAAAAACAUUGAACUGCGAUUUUAUAACAUCCUUUACUAGGCAGAGAGAAGAGGAAACACCAGGAAAGAAAACUGUAUUACGAUGUGAAAACUUAAUGUUGAGAAAUUCAGGCAUCUUGGGGUUAGUGAGGAGAAGUUUUAGGGGCUUAGAUUCUUCUAAACACAUGUACAGAAAUGCAUAUUUCAUCUGAUAUCAAAUGGCAUUUAUAGUGCUAAUCUUUACCUCAAGACUUCACAUCUUUUGGUGAUUGCAUCUUUUAGGUUUAUAGCAGCUAAGUUUGCAUGAAAACACCAGGGCUGUUUCAUUUCAGUCAAGAAUUAAUGUUCAUUGAUUGUGCUUCUGCAUUUCAUGUAACUAUUGUAGAAUUUGUUUUAGUUUUAUGAGGGAAUAAUUGUUCCAACUUCUAUAUAACUCAGGAAUUUACUCUCAAACAACACUGUCAAUUAGUUACUUAUCUCUCUGGAAAUGAUCUGGGAACAUGGAGAGGAAAGGGAGGAAGGGGCAAAAUCUGACCACUUAAAUCUAAGCAUAUUAGAUCAUUUUAUGCUAGAAAGUCCUGAAUGAUGUGACUUUCGUUCUUGUAAAACACCUCUUUCCAUAGAUUCAUGGCCCAAACAGUAUAUAAAGAGUGGGGAAGGAACUGCAUUUGCAAAUAGUUCAAAUCAUUGCUCCAUCUUAACUACGCAGUUCACAAAGUGUGAAGAAAUGUGAUCAUCUCAAAAAAGAUAAUGGGGAAAAAAUAUGUUUUGUUCUGUGACUUUAAAGUCUUGCAAUAUUUUACAUAAAUGAUAAUGGGUGCUUUAAUAAGAACUCUUGAUACUUUUGUUAUUGUAUUCAAUAUAUGCAUAUAAUACAACAGGAUGAUAUUGUUUUGGAUUUGGAAAUGUAUUCUUUCUUAUGCAAUCUUAUGCAGUCAUACUGCUUGAAUAUCAUUACCUGAAUUUAUCUUUCUUUUUUUUGUUGUUGUUUUACACUCUACUUAUUUGGUGCCUGUCAGUCUUUUGUCGUCAGUUUAUAUUCUACUAAACUCAAAAAGACAAUCUCAUACCUUUUGUAAUUGUAGGCAUUCUUUACUAGAUUUUUAAAUACACUUCAAAAAUUCAAGUACUUUGAUUUCAUGCCAUCAAGUAGCUGAAUCUAUCCCCCCGUCUCUUUUUAAAUUUAAGUGAGUAGUUCAAUUUCUGUCACUUUCUACUUUGUGAAUUCUAAAUCUUUUAAAACCAUCUUGCCAUUUUUCGUGCACUUACCCUUACAGAAAACUCUGUGAAACACUACUUAUCUCUACUUUUAUGUUUUUAACUCCUUUUUUAUAUUACUAUUCCCUCUGCUUUCUAAAUGCACAUAUUAAUUUGUUCUUUUUAUUCUCUGUAGCUCUUCUCAGUGUAUGAAUUCAGUUUCCCAUCAGUCUCCAUACAAUUAAAAAAAAGUUGAGUAUUCUGUUAUUUUAAUAAGAUAUCUAGUGCCCAUAUUCUAAUUCUGCCCCUUAUUUUUAAUAUAAUUUUAUUGUUGAUUUAAAAUGACAACAGUUUCAAUUCCCAGAAAGUGAAAGGAAACAAAGGAAUAAUAUUAUAGGCUUAAUUUUUAUCAGUGAACUUGUAGGUGAAGAAAAGAUUUGGGGAAGGAAAUGAACAUAUUAUAUUGCAAAAUAGUAAGGAACAAUCAGAUGUGUUUUCUAGUCUCUGGAAAAGCAUGUUUCAAGAAAUUCAAUGAAAAGUUCAUCAUGCUUGCUUAGAUUGUUGAGAAGCAAAAACACUGAUGAACAUUUGGAAGCAAUGAGAAUGUAAUUCUAAUCAUACUCUUUUAAUAAUGUUGCAAAACUCUCCAAACACUACUCUGUGUGGAUGUCUUUCAGAAUAUGAUGAAUACUAGUAGUCUUAUUCUGCCCUUUUCUCUCUAUCACAAUAUAUACAUUCUAUAUUGCAUACACAUAUUUUCCAAAUAUUACAUAUAAUUUCAUGUAAUUUAUAGACCUAUUAAGGCCCAACCAUUUUCUUGGAUAGGGGAUUCUUUAGAAGUCCAGCUUAAAUAAAGCCCGUAUAGAAAGUUUUUUUAAAAUUUAUACAUAAUCACCUAAAGUAACCUUAUCUACUGAACUCUUAGUACAUGCUACUGGAACCUUUUAUCAUGUUUCUUCCUGGCUUGCAUUACAACACUGUUGACAUAUCUCAGCCUUACUUCUAGGCUUCUUUGAGAGCAUGACUCAUGUUUGUAUUCCUCACUGAGGUUGAAUGAAUAAGAGAAACUACAGUAGUAGGAAAAAACAGUACAUGUACAUAUCAAUGAAUAUGAAAGGGUCAAAUGGAUCUAUUAUAGUAAGCACAAAAUCAACUGACACCAGCAAAGUAAACCCAAAAUUUUUAAUGGUAUUUUAAUAGAUCAAGAGGAGCAAGCAGAUUUUUGAGACAGUUGUCUCCUACUUUCUCUAUCACAGGGAGUAAUUUUAAAAGAAAAAUGGAGGGUAAGUUUCUUUAAGAGAAAAUUGUAGUUUAAAACAGGUCAUGGGAUAAUUAGAAAUAAUUUAAUUUCUUUAGAGGAUUUUAAUCUUUCAACUGCUUGCAAUUAGAUCCUAAGGCAAUAAAAGAAUAAGGAGAUUUGGAAAACCAUUGUCUGUAAUCUCUGAAGAAAAGUGGACAUUAGGGGAGUCAGUUGAAAAGCAAAGCUAUCACCAUUUUCUAAAGAGGAAAAAGGUGAACCUCACAAACUAUAGACCAAAAAAAUAGGACAUCGAGAGAAAGAAUAUGAAGCUAGCAUAGGUUCACAAAGAAUGAGUCAAAUCAAACAACAUGCAUUUUUUAUUUAUAAAGCAUGACUUGUUCAUUGUCAAUUCAUGUUAGCUUAAUCAUUAGGCAUUAAUGCCAUCACUGCAAUGCAUAUGUCAGCAAUAAAUAAUCAAAGACCAGGCUUCCAUCAUUCUGUUUAAUAUCUUCAAGUAAUGCUUAAGUUUGCAAAUGCUCUUUUAACACAUUCUCCAUAUGCAGCCUGCCCAGCACUGCACACAAUAGACCUGUUACUUCCCCCUCACGAGCACUCCUAAUAUUUCAUGUGCUCAUCCAAUUGACUUCUCCCACUGGUGCCUCAUAUUGAAUUUGUAGAAUCACACCUGCUCCUUUUUCAAAACUCUUCUGAGUUUUUUCUUAAAUAAUUCACUGACCCCAAAGUUGUCAGAUAUUUGAAGACUACUCGCACAAUUUUAAUAUUAUAAAUGUAUAAUGUAAAUGUAAUUAAGAUUUGUAUAAUGUACGAUGUACUUUGGUAAAUAAAAGUAUGCUGUGAAUAAAUACGUAUGAUACAAUUCAAAAUUUUACAUAAAUAUGUGAUAAAAUUUAGCUCAUAUUCUUUUUUUUUUUCUUUGAGACGGAGUCUCACUCUGUUGCACCCAGGCUAGAGUGCAGCAGCAUGAUCUCAGCUCACUGCAACCUCUACCUCCUGGGUUCAAACAAUUCUCCUGCCUCAGCCUCCUGAGUAGCUGGGAUUACAGGUGCCCGCCACCAUGCCCAGCUAAUUUUUUUCUAUUUUUGUUGUUGUUGUUGUUUUUAGUAGAGACGGGGUUUCACCAUGUUGGUCAGGCUGGUCUUGAACUCCUGACCUCAGAUAAUCCACCUGCCUCGGCCUCCCAAAGUUCUGGGAUUACAGACGUGAACCACGGUGCCCGGCCUAGUUCAUGUUCUUUAAGGACAAUUAUGAAUAUUUUUAUGCACUGUUAAUUUUCAUUAAGAUAUUGAUCAAUUAAUAGCUAUAUAUGUUCUAUAAAUUAAUCCUAUCUAGUUUCAAUCUUAAAUUGUUUGCAUAUACCAAUCUAGUUUAUUGUUUGCAUAUAUUUUAUAGUGUAGAGAUUAGGCAUUUUAAUAAAAUUUUAAAAUUUCCAGGACAUACUGUUAAUGACUAUGCUUCCUACUAUAGGCCAUAAUUAAUUUUUUUCUAUUGUCAACAAUAUUUUGGUAGGGAUGAUCAGGAAAUAAGGAAAUGUUUCCUUCAUUUGUUAACAAUAGGUGUUUGGGGAUUUUAAAAUGAAAAUUGAAGAAGUAAAAGACACCAUAUAUUUAGUUUGUUUGAUUUCGUGGCUUCAAGAGUUCAAUAAUUUAUUGAAAUAUUUUACAGACCAAAGAACAACAGAUAUAUUACGUUUAUAAGCCCCCACAUAUUUUAAAGGAUAAUGGUUUAUAUAUGAAAAUUCCCUGAACCUACACUUCAUC